GCGUCGAUAGCUCAGUUGGUAGAGCGGUGGACUGUAGAUCCAUAGGUCGCUGGUUCGAAUCCGGCUCGACGGA
rnacentral:tRNA from 1 species